CUUUUAACAAUCGAACAUCAACGGUUUUUACAUGUUCUUAAAAUAUAAACAGUAACCACAUAAACAAACAAAAUCUAAAAUAGAGAAUUAUUAUACAAAAUAACAUUAAAUAAAUGUGCAAAACAACAUUAACAUUCGAGUUAACGGAAGUUUUUACGAAUAGCGUAAAGGGGUCAUCAGUUCAUAGAUCCAAUUUCCAUGCUGUGAUAAUAGUGGAUGGGUCUAAUUUAUUAAUCAGUUUUCGUGUUGCCUUGUUGGAGUUAAAAAUUGUAAAAGACUCUGCUAUCCUUCCCCUUUUUGGGUCUUCUUGCUUCUUAAUGAGUCUAGCAUCAUCCCACUUUACG
rnacentral:lncRNA from 1 species